UUUGGAGUUGAUUACUGGGUUUUUACUGUAGUCUCUAUGAGCUAUACAAAGUCUGAAGUCAUUGUACGUACAGUACACCUUUAAUAAGAAGGGAGCUCACAGUCUACCAAACUCUGCCAAAUAAACCUUUAAUACAUACUGUACUUCACUCAGUAGCUGUCCAUCUCUUCUUCAUGGAAUAUCUAACAGCUCUAAAAAUAUUUUCUUGGAAGAGGAUAGAAUUAUCAUUGUUAUAUAUCAAUCAAGUAUGGUUAAUGAAGCAAAGCCAGCAUGCUAGUAUUGCACAAGGGGAAAAGCCUCCAGAACACAAAGUGGAACAACAAAUGCCCUCAACAUUCUGCCAAAGGGAACAGGAAGCUCUGGAUGCCACAUCGGUAGGAUUCAGGUAGCUCUUAGGCAUCCUUGUACCGCAGCAGGUUUGCUUUGCCUCUUCACUGCCACAUUUCUCUCUGAAACACGUAGGGAUCUUCCAGACCAUUACAAAAAAGAAGAAAAAAAUUUACAGCAGCUGCAGCAAAGUGUGGUACUAUUCAAUUUCUUGAAGAGUGAGGCUUUUAUUUCAAAAUAUCAUAUAUUAAUAUAUAUAUAUUUCUAUAUAUAUACUUUAACUGGUAUAAAGUAAAUUGUAGAUCCAAACUUAGACUGUUGUUUGUACUUCGCAAUCUUGGAAACUUUACCAAAGGAACCAUUUUCUUCCUUUUUAUUUUCAGCUGUCAAAAAUCAGGGGCAUUAUUUCCACCGAAUACUUGCUUUCACACAAUAAAGCCACUGUUGUUAUCUGGUAAACAGUCAAAGUGCAAAUAAGAAAUCCAUUUGGCUUGUAAAUGCUGAGAUGGUUUUAAACUUUCAAUACUUUGUCCUCAAAAAUCAGCAGGGCUUUCACUGUCUCCUUGCAGACGGCGCUCUGUUAGGUCCUUGGGUGACUUACUCUGGUGGUCUUGAUUUUAUUGCCAGUUGCACACAUCCAUCCAGAAUUAUCAGGCAACGUCUUACAUUCCUCUCCUUCUAGGCAGGGCUCCAUCUCACACCACCAUUUCC
rnacentral:lncRNA from 1 species